UUAGCAUCUUCUGAUUUAGAAGACCAGCUGGAUCAUGGAGGGAUAUAUCCAAUUUCUAGGCCAAAGUUCUGAUUCUGUUUGAAUGCCAGGAAUCAGUUCCUUGGUUAAUAACAUUUAGCAUGCAGAGGGCUGUGGUGUUGAUGAGGCAGAAGCUCAGAAGAGAGGAAGGAGUUCUGGAGUAGGGAGAAGCUUUGGCUCUCUUAUAUGUUGAUGCUGGGCAUGAUCUAUGAACUCAGAGAAUGAUAGACAGAAGCUAUCUUGGAAAUUAUCAAUGAAGAAACUGAGGACAAGUCAGGGUUGAUUGAAUUUAUUCUUUAAAAGAAAAUGGAUUUAAAUUUGAUCUUGGCCCACGACCCCUGCCAUGGCUGCUUCUACUAUACUCAGUUGGCCAGGUAAGGGUAUCAUGGGUAGGA
rnacentral:lncRNA from 1 species